rfam:Ilyobacter polytropus DSM 2926, complete genome.
AUUUAAUAUAUAUCCAAACCAAAGACCGUAGGUGGCACAAGCCUUAAACAUCCUACCGAGGUUGGGGCAAGUUAUCACUAACCUCAAGUAUGCUUUCAACCUCCGUUCCUGUCUUUGGAUCGGGGGUUAUUUUUCAGAAAA